rnacentral:lncRNA from 1 species
AAUAGUGGUAAAUCGUGAAAUAUCUUAUAAAAUGUCUAUCAAUAUCAUAUCCCAUUUUAAUAUCUUACAAAAAAUAUUGUCAUUAUAUAUAUACUGCGGCAGGUGCGGUUGUCCACGCAAUUUGGACUUGAAACAGGUGCGGUUCCAGAAACUUCGAUCCCGAAAUCGCAAUUCCAAGUGUAGGGGACGGAUGGCUCGAUAGAGAACGACCGUUCAGUCUUCGCAUAUCACGAUGUCCGCAACGUGUUUUUGGACGCACCCUAUAUAUAUAUAGUAAACUGAUUUAACUAAUAACUAAGCUACUUAAUUAACAAUUACUUGAAUUACAGAACAAUACAUUACUGAUACUCAACUGAUUUAACUGCAUUACUGAUGCUCCUUAACAAUCCGGACCACCAUCUAAACUCUAGAUCUAGACCAGGAGCUGGAAAUGGUGGGUCUAGAACCGGACAAGAUCCGAACUGAACUCCAAUUCUGGUGAGUGUUGGAUCUAACCGAUUCAUCCAAAUUGAACUCUUGGCUUGAACAGAACUAUCUUUGGGUAGAUCUUGUAAACUUUUGGUUGUUCGAAUAAGAUUUUGGUUUAAAGUAGACCCAUAUCCAUUUACAUCCCGGGGCGAAUCUAGGGGGCUCAAAAAAAAAUUAUAUUACAUAAUUAUAAACCCUAUAAUUCUAACUAAUAUUGUUAUAGACCCAAACCCCAGUAUACUUUAUGUAAUUUAUUAUAGGUCAAAUAUUCAUUUGAUUUUGUAUUUUAUGAAAAAUUUAAGGUAUAGUAUAAAAUAUUAUAUAUAAUUUUUUUUUAAAUUACCAUAAAAUUUUCAGGCAUGUCCGCCCUGGUGUCUCUGGGUACGUACCGUCUAUGCCGUCCGAUGUUGAUCUUGUAGCCGUCACCAUCGGGCAGUGUCGUCCCUGACAAAUUGAUGAAUUUAGCCACGUCAUGACACAUAUCCCGU